GCUCAAAUUUGAAAUCUCCCUAACGGGCGAAUUGUAGUUGAUAGAAACGUUUUCGGGGGUAGGCUGGGCACAAGUUGCCUGGAAAGGCACAUCAUAGAGGGUGAGAAUCCCGUCUGUGGUCCAGCUCUGCUCCUAUGUGAUACGUUUUCUAAGAGUCGGGUUGUUUGGGAUUGCAGCCCUAAAUGGGUGGUAAAUACCAUCUAAAGCUAAAUACUAGCGAGAGACCGAUAGCGAACAAGUACCGUGAGGGAAAGAUGAAAAGAACUUUGAAAAGAGAGUUAAACAGUACGUGAAAUUGUCAGAAGGGAACGGCUUGAAACCAGUCUUGCGUCUGGAAUUCAGCCUCUCUAACGAGGGGUGCAAUUCGCUAGAUGCAGGUCAGCGUCAGUUUGAGGAGGGGGAAAAAGACUAGAGAAGGUAGCCUUCGGGUGUUAUAGCUCUUGUUUCUACCCCUCUUUGGACUGAGGGCCGCGGCGUGAUACGGGGUUGAUGGGUUCCGGUGACCUACUGGUAAACUGCAUGCAGAUUGCUGGCAAGGCUCGCUUGAUUCCCUUCAGCUCCACACGUCUAGGAUGCUGACGAAAUGGUCUCAAACCACCCGUCUUGAAACACGGACCAAGGAGUCUAACGUAUAUGCGAGUGUAUGGGUGUCAAACCCCUGCGCGUAAUGAAAGUGAAACUGGUGUGAACCUUCGGGUGCAACAUCGACCGGUCUGGAUUUUUUUGAUAGAUCUGAGUAAGAGCAUAUACGCUAGGACCCGAAAGAUGGUGAACUAUGCCUGAAUAGGGUGAAGCCAGAGG
rnacentral:rRNA from 1 species